AGCUAUUUCAUUCCAGUGUAAAAUCUGAGUAUGUUUCAUUUCGAUGAAAUAUUCCUGCACAGUGCUUACAUGCCACUGAAAGUAACAGACAGAAAACAAAUAAAUAAACUACUGCAAUGUUUUUUUGAGGGUUUGGAGAAUAAUCAAAGUCUAACUUGGAGACUCCUAAGGCAAAGCCAAAUGCCUUUGUGGUCAGGAAUGCUUCUCUGAGAUGUUGACAGUUGAACUAAGGAAAAAAGAAAGGGAAGAAACACAGCAACCAGUAUUAGGGUAUGACAGAGAAGAAAGAAUAGAUACAAUCAAGAAAACACUUUUCUUCAAUUGGGGCAAAAAUCUAUACUUUUGGAAAGUGAAUCUUCUUCCCAAAGGGUAGUCUACACCAGCAGACCUCCAAACCUGUGCCUCUUAGCUAUCAGGAGGAGGGUGAGAUCUGCAGUUUCUUAUCAGUUGGUCUAUGUGCCCUAUGAGAAUCUUAGCGCUCAGUUUUCCCUAGGUUAUUUGCUGGGUGCUAGGAAGUAAAGACACCUCAGACAGAAUUAUAGAAGAUGCCAAAGCCCUUCCCCAUGCUAGCUUGAUUACUAGAUUCUGGUCAGUCAUUUUGUUAAAGGGAAAGGUAACUGGUAUGACUAUGCAGAUCCAUCUGUAGAGUCUCAUCCCUUACGUAGGCCUCUGCUUAUUAGCCAACCAGGAUGCCUCCAGAGACAGGGAAAGGUGGACAGUCGUGCAUGAAGUCUAGCGUAUGUACAGUACUCUCAUGUGCCCAGCAAAUCAAUAAUCAAAGCAUCUUUUAUGGAUAUGUUAAACAUAGCUACAGUGAAACAGAGACAUAAAUAUUGAAGUCUGUGGCUCUGUAGUGACCAACCUAAGAGUUACUAUGAACUAUCACCUAGUCUGAUCUUUCUUUGUUCAAUGCAAAGCAGUGUUGCUUGAAUCCCUUAUCCACACUGAAAGAUGUAUCCAUGGGUAAAACAAUCAAUUGAUAUUAUUUUCCCUAGCAAUAUACUGAGUGUAAACAAAAAUUACUUUUGUUAUAAAUAAAAACAGAGCCCUGUAGAAGAAUUGAUUUCAUAGCUUGGAAUAAAAUAAACCAAAAAUGCUAGGGAGGGUGGUUUAGUGGUAGCCAUCUUGCCUAGCACUCCCAGAAUACAACAGGAUAAACAAAAAUACACAAUACGUUCAUGUUACUACGGAUGCUAUCAUAUUUUAAUCUAUAGUACUAUUAACUACAGAUGUUAAAAGUUAAAGUUUAUAGUUUAAUUAAGUAUUAGUGUAUUAUUUACAGUUUGUUUUUGUAAAAAGCCCUUUAAAAAUGUUCAGGAUAAACUUGAAAUAUUUAUUUUGCAACUCUCCUGCCUCAGUUUCUCAAUUUUUGUAUAAAGGCCAGAGUCACUACAUUUUGCAAAGUUUCUUCAUUUAUGGCAAAUGCUAUAUUCAGUUUUCAAACAGUCCCUUUAUUUUGAGUCUCUCUCUCUCUCUUAUUUUUAUAACUUAUUUUUAUUUCAUGUACAUUGAUGCUUUGCACGCAUGUUUGUCUGCCUGUGGGAGGGGUUAGAUCCCCUGGAGCAGGAGUUGCAGACCCUUGUGAGCUUCCAUGUGGCUGCUGGGAACUGAACCAGGGUCCUCUGGAAGAGUACCUGGUGCUCUCAACUGCUGAGCCAUCUCCCCAGCCCCCUGGGUUGUUGUUUUUUUGCCUCUUCUCUGCUCCUUCUGACUCUUGCUCCCGCCUUCUGCAUGGUCCCUCUUGGUUCCUUACCUUUCCUUUGAGCACUCUGAAUCUUUCCCUGUCCUCCGGUGUCACUCUUCUUCUUUUAGCAUAAUCUGGCAGGCCCUGUGUUACAAAUUCAGGGAGAGCUGGUUAAUGCAGAGGCUAUUCUUUUCCCUGGGUUCCGAGGUCUGUGCUUUCCCAAAUUGCUUCCUCAGAAUAGAAAAAUUCUGGGAUGGAAACAGUAGAGUGUCUUGCAUUUCAAGUUGUUGUCUGCCCAUUCAUUUCACACACUUCCGGGCCCAUCUGUCACUUCAUUGGAGUGAACUCAAAGACUGUGACCAGGUUAGAUGGCAAAGUUAUUUACUACAACUUAGAAAAGGUGAAGACAAAUUACUAUAGAAAUUUCCAAAAUUAAAUUUGUAAAUAUAUAUAAAUAUAUAAAUAUAUAUAUAUCAGGGAGAAUGGAAGUGUGGAGUCCGACAAAGGUUCUAAUCCUAGAAGUUACAUGGGCAUGAAAGCUGUGGAAGGUGACACAUGCCAGUAUUUAUUUUUCGCCCUGAAAAAAAUUAAAGCUGAACCCCAAAGCAAAGCAAAGCAAAGCAAAGCAAAGCAAAGCAAAGCAAAGCAAAGCAAAGCAAACUAACCAAGAACUCUUUUACUUACAUUAAAGAGAUAGGAAAAUCAAUUCAUUUCUUCUCAUCCAUGGCUUGCACUGAGCACUUUGAAUCUCAGAGCAAGAAAUUAAGUAGAGAGAGAGAGGUCUUAAUAUAGAAUGUUUAAUUUUAGGGCAGCAAGAUAGCUCAGCAGGUAAAGGUGCUUGCUGCCAAUCUGGAUGCCUUGGGUCCCUAGAACUCACUUGGUGGAAAAAAUGGCUUUCUGCCAGUUGUCCUUUGGCCUUGGCAUAUUGUGUGCAUCAUAUUUUAUGUAUCCAUAAUACCCAACACACAUAUACACACAGACACAUACACACAAGUAUACACACAGACACAUACACACAGACACACACAAACAUACAGACACACACACAAAGAUAGAGAGCGCUAAUAGAUUAGCAUAAUAAAUGAAAUCACCCCCAAUUAAUUGUAAUUAGCAAGACUCAAGUUUUAUGUUUCCUUCAAAGGUCUUUAGUGAUGCUGCUGAGAUGCUUGGUGAUAAAGGUUUUUGCUUUGCAGGACUGGUGAUCUGAGUUUUAUCCCCAGAUGGCAUAAAGUUGGAAGGAGAGAACUAACAAUAAAACACUACCACUCCACCCACUCUUAUAUAUACACACUUGAUACAUAUACAUACAGAAAGACAUAUACAAUAUACACAUACUCCUAUACACAUAUACUCACUCAACUUGUGUAUGUGAGAUACAUGCAUGUGCAUGUACACCCAUGCUAUACACUCCUGCUAUACCUAUGGACACACACACUACAUUCACACACCUUACAUACAUACAUGCUAACAAAACAUUAAAAUCCUUAAUGAUUGUGAGGUAGGUCUAGUUUUCAUCACAGUUUAGAGUUUGCUUGCUCUGUUCUGAGAGAGUACUAGAACAUUGCCUCAUCUUGGCCUCCACGGCCAUUUCAUCUCAAUGUUAAGUGCUCUUUCUGCCCAGCUUUUCUGCACCAUUGUUUUAUUUUGGGGGAACUACUUGUUUAGCUCCUGACAUCACCUUUGCUUUUGGGCACUAACUAUUGGUCCUCUUCAGAUUCCUAUUCUAAGGACUGGCAGGAAUGUCGGCCCAGUCCAUUCUAAAGUCCAAGGGAACCCUUCCAGGUGUAUUAAUACCUGAUAGAUCUGGCCAGAGACACUGACAAGGCAUUUUUAAUAGUUAAUUAUGAAGGUUUUUUGCCACUAGCUGUUGAUAGUUUUUUCAAUGUCAGGAUGAAAAUGUAAGGCCUCACUUUGCCCUUUAUACAUCUCUAUCUAGUUCACUCACCUUAUUCUGGUUAAUGAAAGG
rnacentral:lncRNA from 1 species